rnacentral:rRNA from 1 species
CCUACGGGAGGCAGCAGUGAGGAAUAUUGGUCAAUGGGCGAGAGCCUGAACCAGCCAAGUCGCGUGAGGGAGUACUGCCCUAUGGGUUGUAAACCUCUUUUGUCGGGGAGCAAAAGCCGGACGUGUCCGGCUGUGAGAGUACCCGAAGAAAAAGCAUCGGCGAACUCCGUGCCAGCAGCCGCGGUAAUACGGGGGAUGCGAGCGUUAUCCGGAUUUAUUGGGUUUAAAGGGGGCGCAGGCGGAUUUUUAAGUCAGCGGUAAAAUCGUGGGGCUCAACCCCAUCCAGCCGUUGAAACUGGGGAUCUAGAGUGUGCGAGAGGUAUGCGGAAUGCGUGGUGUAGCGGUGAAAUGCAUAGAUAUCACGCAGAACCCCGAUUGCGAAGGCAGCAUACCGGUGCACAACUGACGCUCAGGCACGAAAGCGUGGGUAUCGAACAGGAUUAGAUACCCGAGUAGUC